rnacentral:rRNA from 1 species
GGAGAGUGGANUUCCAUGUGUAGCGGUGAAAUGCGUAGAUAUAUGGAGGAACACCAGUGGCGAAAGCGGCUCUNUGGUCUGUCACUGACGCUGAGGCUCGAAAGCGUGGGUCGCGAACAGGAUUAGAUACCCUGGUAGUCCACGCCGUAAACGAUGAGUGCUAGGUGUUAGGCCCUUUCCGGGGCUUAGUGCCGGAGCUAACGCAAUAAGCACUCCGCCUGGGGAGUACGACCGCAAGGUUGAAACUCAAAGGAAUUGACGGGGGCCCGCACAAGCGGUGGAGCAUGUGGUUUAAUUCGAAGCAACGCGAAGAACCUUACCAGGUCUUGACAUCCCGAUGCUAUUCUUAGAGAUAGGAAGUUACUUCGGUACAUCGGAGACAGGUGGUGCAUGGUUGUCGUCAGCUCGUGUCGUGAGAUGUUGGGUUNNNNNNNNNNNNCGAGCGCAACCCUUAUUGUUAGUUGCCAUCAUUAAGUUGGGCACUCUAGCGAGACUGCCGGUAAUAAACCGGAGGAAGGUGGGGAUGACGUCAAAUCAUCAUGCCCCUUAUGACCUGGGCUACACACGUGCUACAAUGGUCGGUACAACGAGUUGCGAGCCGGUGACGGCAAGCUAAUCUCUGAAAGCCGAUCUCAGUUCGGAUUGGAGGCUGCAACUCGCCUCCAUGAAGUCGGAAUCGCUAGUAAUCGCGGAUCAGCACGCCGCGGUGAAUACGUUCCCGGGCCU